CCUACGGGAGGCAGCAGUGAGGAAUAUUGGUCAAUGGACGAGAGUCUGAACCAGCCAAGUAGCGUGAAGGAUGACUGCCCUAUGGGUUGUAAACUUCUUUUAUAUGGGAAUAAAACGUUCCACGUGUGGGAUUUUGUAUGUACCAUAUGAAUAAGGCUCGGCUAACUCCGUGCCAGCAGCCGCGGUAAUACGGAGGAUCCGAGCGUUAUCCGGAUUUAUUGGGUUUAAAGGGAGCGUAGGUGGAUUGUUAAGUCAGUUGUGAAAGUUUGCGGCUCAACCGUAAAAUUGCAGUUGAAACUGGCAGUCUUGAGUACAGUAGAGGUGGGCGGAAUUCGUGGUGUAGCGGUGAAAUGCUUAGAUAUCACGAAGAACUCCGAUUGCGAAGGCAGUUCACUGGACUGCAACUGACACUGAGGCUCGAAAGUGUGGGUAUCAAACAGGAUUAGAUACCCGAGUAGUC
rnacentral:rRNA from 1 species